rnacentral:rRNA from 1 species
CAGCCGCCGCGGUAAUACAGAGGGUGCGAGCGUUAAUCGGAUUUACUGGGCGUAAAGCGUGCGCAGGCGGUUAUAUAAGACAGAUGUGAAAUCCCCGGGCUCAACCUGGGAACUGCAUUUGUGACUGUAUAGCUAGAGUACGGCAGAGGGGGAUGGAAUUCCGCGUGUAGCAGUGAAAUGCGUAGAUAUGCGGAGGAACACCGAUGGCGAAGGCAAUCCCCUGGGCCUGUACUGACGCUCAUGCACGAAAGCGUGGGGAGCAAACAGGAUUAGAUACCCCCGUAGUCCCUGUCUCUUAUAC